UUCUGGGCCGGGUCGGGCUGGAUUACUGAUGGGCCAGUUUCUUGGGCCUGGUCGGACAAGGUUACUGGGCUCGGGUCUGGGCCAGUUUUCUGGGCCGGACUGGGAGGAGUUACUGGGCUCGGGCCUGGGCCAACUGUUGCUAGGCUCGGAUCUACUUGUGGGACCCGACCCAAAAGAACCCGACUCGUUUAUGGGGCAUAUGUCGCCCAUUUCUCCUUUAGAUUUUCUUUCUUCUUCUUCCCAGCUCCUGAGGCAGCUGCCUCCAAAUCGCUCCUUCUCCCUUUGCCCUCCGCCGCC
rnacentral:lncRNA from 1 species